UAUCUCUCUCCAAAGAUUUUGACUUGCCAAUUCCCAAUACCCUAUGUUGAAAGCCAGCUGGCUGCCCACACUUUUGAAAACACAGUGAGACAUUAACCCUCAAAGGCAAAGUCCAAGGGCACAAUUUUGCUGCAAGGGCUGCCUGCCUGACUGCAGCUUUAAUAGCUGAUUCUCCAAAUAUGCACUGACGUCAGUGAGAGUUCCCUGUGCUCAGCGUGUCUGACUCAGCCUCCACAGUGCAAUUUGGAGGGAAGAGUUUGACCUGAAGACGUUUCGCCUGCUACCUGUUUUAGGGUUUAAAGUGAAAUGCAGCCUUUAUGCCACCCCUGCAGCCUGCCCUGGAAAGGACAUGAAAGUGAAGAGAGAUGAAGUAACUCACUGAAGAGCACACACAUUGACAGCCCAGGUUAACUCUAAAGUGGGCUUCUUCAAGGUUCCCGACGCUGCCACAUCUCCAGUUGUUUCCUCCUGCUGGUCUCUCAGUUCUUCGUUUUUCUCUCCCAUCCCUGCUGUGUGAAAUCAUUUUUCUUGGCCAAGAUACAGAGUCAUGUCCAGUGCCUUCCUUAACUUUGUUCAGGUAUCUACCCUACCCUGGCUGUGGGUCCAGUUCUGAUUUGGGGGGAAUCUAAGGAGCCCUGAUCUAUUGCAAGUUAUUGCUGCUGCUGGGCCCACUCUGAUCUGAGUUCCAACUCCAGUUAAGAGAACCAAUUUUUUAUUGCUUGCCAAUUGUCCUCUCUAUGUCAGGCUUUUACAUGCUUCAUUUCAUUUAACCCUCCUAAUAAUUUAACAUGUGAUGAAACAGAUGCCCAGAGAGGGUAAGUGAUUUGACCAAGCCACCCUGCAAUGUAAAUGGGGAACCAGGAUUUUAAAACCUUGGUGUAUGAUGAAAACAACCCAAAUGCUGAUCAGCUGAUGAAUGGAUAAACAGAAUGUGAUAUAUCCAUACAAUGGAAUAUUAUGCAGCCAUUAAAGAAAUAAAGUAAUGAUACAUGCUAUGUAUUAGUCAUGAUUCUCACAAAAAAAGAACCAAUAGGAUAUAUGUAUGAGUGUAUGUAU